CGAUUGACGGAGCGAAGCGACGUCAAAGCGUUCAUUAAAGUCGAGUUGGCUUAGGGAUACGUUCGUUGGGUAGGGGAGCGUUCUGUAAGCCUGUGAAGGUGUGUCGUGAGGCAUGCUGGAGGUAUCAGAAGUGCGAAUGCUGACAUAAGUAACGAUAAAGCGGGUGAAAAGCCCGCUCGCCGGAAGACCAAGGGUUCCUGUCCAACGUUAAUCGGGGCAGGGUGAGUCGACCCCUAAGGCGAGGCCGAAAGGCGUAGUCGAUGGGAAACGGGUUAAUAUUCCCGUACUUGGUGUUACUGCGAAGGGGGGACGGAGAAGGCUAUGUUGGCCGGGCGACGGUUGUCCCGGUUUAAGCGUGUAGGUGUGUGUUCCAGGUAAAUCCGGUUCACUUUAACACUGAGGCGUGAUGACGAGGCACUACGGUGCUGAAGCAACAAAUGCCCUGCUUCCAGGAAAAGCCUCUAAGCAUCAGGUAACAUCAAAUCGUACCCCAAACCGACACAGGUGGUCAGGUAGAGAAUACCAAGGCGCUUGAGAGAACUCGGGUGAAGGAACUAGGCAAAAUGGUGCCGUAACUUCGGGAGAAGGCACGCUGACACGUAGGUGAAGUGAUUUACUCACGGAGCUGAAGUCAGUCGAAGAUACCAGCUGGCUGCAACUGUUUAUUAAAAACACAGCACUGUGCAAACACGAAAGUGGACGUAUACGGUGUGACGCCUGCCCGGUGCCGGAAGGUUAAUUGAUGGGGUCAGCGCAAGCG
rnacentral:rRNA from 1 species